AACUGUUUUGCUUGUUGAAAUCACACCGUUAAAUAAUUCUCAGUGACGCUUAACUUUAGGUUUUUUGGGAUUUUAGGUUCUGCAUAUUUCAUAGUUUUUCUUUUCCCCAACCAUAAUUCAUCCUCCGUCUUUUCGCUUCCGCUGUCUGACUCUACCAUUUUUGGCUCAAGUGCUUGUUGAGAAUUGCAAAAGUUUAACUGGAUUUAUAUAAAAACGCUGUUAAAUUAAAUUAUAACUUCAAUUAUAUCAUGAAGUGCAAGCCUUAUUUGAAGUUUUGUUGCAUGAUGAGCCGCCCGUGCUUCCCUGUUUUAUAAAACUCAUUUGACUUGAGGGGCAACUUGGUGGGGAUUUAUUUCUAUGGUUAGAAAAAAUAUUCAGGCUACCUUUUGACCGUCUCUUAAGUGUUUAAAAGUUUAAUGCAAAAAUUAUCGUAAUUAAAUAUUUACGAAAAAUGACUUCAUAUUUCCACGUAUCUACCUUAAUAACCUUUCUCCCGUUUGAAAAUCUGACUGGGAUGAAUUGGUGAUCCCUUGGGCCUUGGAAAAUUUCUUUUCAAUAAGAUUUGGGAUAAGAAGUCCGCUUGAGGUUAAUUUGCUUGCAAGCCCAGCAGCCACGGACAAUCGAACACCCCCUAAAGCUUCCUUGAGUUCGUUUGUUGUUAUAAAAGAAUUUUUCCAAGUUUUCAAUAUUAAAAGGCUUCUUUUAAAUAUGGCCUCCGCUCUAUGAGAGACGGGCGACGUCUCAUCGCUUUUGUUUGUUUUACUUAUUGAACAAGUUCUUUAACGCUAGUAAACUGAAAAAUACCUAGAACCAGUGCACCGGAGGCAGGAAUAUUCUGUCAAAAGAUAUAUUUAUUUACAUUCUCACUAAUAAUUAUGACUUUGUACCAUUGGGAAUGCUAUUUUCCGUAAAUCCCAAGCAAACAGGAUGUUGAAGAACUUUGCAAACUUUACAUUCUAGCAUUAUCCCCGGGGAAUGAUAUUAUGUCUAUGUGUCUAAUAAUGCUAAAGGUGUUUUAAAUUUGAGCCGAAAAGUUGAGUGUAGCUUUUUGACAAGCUCAUUGUAGUUUGCCACUUGUAUGAGGUCGGGGCGACUUAAUCUUACCUUUUAUUUCUAUAAGA